rnacentral:rRNA from 1 species
AUUGAACGCUGGCGGCAGGCCUAACACAUGCAAGUCGAGCGGUAGCACAGAGAGCUUGCUCUCGGGUGACGAGCGGCGGACGGGUGAGUAAUGUCUGGGAAACUGCCUGAUGGAGGGGGAUAACUACUGGAAACGGUAGCUAAUACCGCAUAAUGUCGCAAGACCAAAGUGGGGGACCUUCGGGCCUCAUGCCAUCAGAUGUGCCCAGAUGGGAUUAGCUAGUAGGUGGGGUAACGGCUCACCUAGGCGACGAUCCCUAGCUGGUCUGAGAGGAUGACCAGCCACACUGGAACUGAGACACGGUCCAGACUCCUACGGGAGGCAGCAGUGGGGAAUAUUGCACAAUGGGCGCAAGCCUGAUGCAGCCAUGCCGCGUGUGUGAAGAAGGCCUUCGGGUUGUAAAGCACUUUCAGCGGGGAGGAAGGCGAUAAGGUUAAUAACCUUGUCGAUUGACGUUACCCGCAGAAGAAGCACCGGCUAACUCCGUGCCAGCAGCCGCGGUAAUACGGAGGGUGCAAGCGUUAAUCGGAAUUACUGGGCGUAAAGCGCACGCAGGCGGUCUGUCAAGUCGGAUGUGAAAUCCCCGGGCUCAACCUGGGAACUGCAUUCGAAACUGGCAGGCUAGAGUCUUGUAGAGGGGGGUAGAAUUCCAGGUGUAGCGGUGAAAUGCGUAGAGAUCUGGAGGAAUACCGGUGGCGAAGGCGGCCCCCUGGACAAAGACUGACGCUCAGGUGCGAAAGCGUGGGGAGCAAACAGGAUUAGAUACCCUGGUAGUCCACGCCGUAAACGAUGUCGAUUUGGAGGUUGUGCCCUUGAGGCGUGGCUUCCGGAGCUAACGCGUUAAAUCGACCGCCUGGGGAGUACGGCCGCAAGGUUAAAACUCAAAUGAAUUGACGGGGGCCCGCACAAGCGGUGGAGCAUGUGGUUUAAUUCGAUGCAACGCGAAGAACCUUACCUGGUCUUGACAUCCACAGAACUUAGCAGAGAUGCUUUGGUGCCUUCGGGAACUGUGAGACAGGUGCUGCAUGGCUGUCGUCAGCUCGUGUUGUGAAAUGUUGGGUUAAGUCCCGCAACGAGCGCAACCCUUAUCCUUUGUUGCCAGCGGUUAGGCCGGGAACUCAAAGGAGACUGCCAGUGAUAAACUGGAGGAAGGUGGGGAUGACGUCAAGUCAUCAUGGCCCUUACGACCAGGGCUACACACGUGCUACAAUGGCAUAUACAAAGAGAAGCGACCUCGCGAGAGCAAGCGGACCUCAUGAAGUAUGUCGUAGUCCGGAUUGGAGUCUGCAACUCGACUCCAUGAAGUCGGAAUCGCUAGUAAUCGUAGAUCAGAAUGCUGCGGUGAAUACGUUCCCGGGCCUUGUACACACCGCCCGUCACACCAUGGGAGUGGGUUGCAAAAGAAGUAGGUAGCUUAACCUUCGGGAGGGCGCUUACCACUUUGUGAUUCAUGACUGGGGUG